CGUGGACCCCGCGCGGCGUUUAUCCUGUGAACUCCCCCAGGGCCGGAAGGCAGCAAGGGUCAACGGGCUCUAGCGGGUGCGCGGGGUCCCCCCAC
rnacentral:SRP_RNA from 3 species